CAGUCGCCACGGUAAUACGUAGGGUGCAAGCGUUAAUCGGAAUUACUGGGCGUAAAGCGUGCGCAGGCGGUUAUGUAAGACAGUUGUGAAAUCCCCGGGCUCAACCUGGGAACUGCAUCUGUGACUGCAUAGCUAGAGUACGGUAGAGGGGGAUGGAAUUCCGCGUGUAGCAGUGAAAUGCGUAGAUAUGCGGAGGAACACCGAUGGCGAAGGCAAUCCCCUGGACCUGUACUGACGCUCAUGCACGAAAGCGUGGGGGGCAAACAGGAUUAGAUACCCCUGUAGUCCCUGUCUCUUAUAC
rnacentral:rRNA from 1 species